UCCAGCGCUCUGUGGGCACCGGAAACUCCGGAGAACAGCGACCAAGCCAAAAGCUUCCACUGACCGUCAAAGCGACUCAGCAACUGGCCGGCGUUCAUAUCCAGAUUCCAAUUUUUAAAACGAGAAAUUGGCGAUGGCUCGCUCCGUUCGAUGGGAGACAGCAACACUGCCUCCUGGCGGACGGACGAGGGAUGGUCUUUUAACAUCCGAAUAGCUGAGACCUGUGUGUGUGUGUGUGUGUGUGUGUGUGUGUGUGUGUGUGUGUGUGUGUGUGUGUGUGUGUAGAUCUUAAAAUGAUGUGACGUUUGUGUGAAAAAUGAAUGGGUGUGUCUAUGGAUCCACAAACGCACAUUCGACACGUCACACACAGAAUUGAAUAUUUACAAAUAAGUCAUGAGACACAAUAAA